GAAGAUUUUGAAGACAUCACAGGAUGUUCUGGUGUUUGACAAUACACCGAACUGGAUAAACAGCCAGCCAAAUGGGCGUUCAAAGAUUUUGGAAGGUGUCACAAGAUGUUCCAGUGUUUUACGAUACAACGAGUCGGAUCAAUAGCCAGCUCAGUGCGCUUUUGAACAUAUUGAGAUGCGUCAAAAGGAUUUUCCCACAAGUAUUAUGAUAAAAGGUCAACGUGCACAUAUCGGUUCAUAUGUUAUACAACAAAUGAGUUCAGCUUGAAUCGACUAAAGCAUUAAUUGAUUUCACAUCCUAGUCCUCAUCACUAUCAAGUGUGGGAUUUUCAUCUGCAUCAUGGUAUUGCUAGAUAGUCUCAUCCUCCUUCUCAUUGUCAGAAUUGAAUCCGUCCACAUCAGAUAGAACCUGCUGGCGAAUGAAAGUAACUUGAGCCGUUGGAAUGAUAGUCUUGUCCUCC
rnacentral:lncRNA from 1 species